CACACACACACACACACACACACACACACACACACACACACACAGAGUCUGAUCCUGGUUGACUUGACCCAACCCUCAGGUGCCUUCCUCUCACUGCGUCUCAAUAUGUAUAAAUGAAUGGGUUCAACUCGCAAAGUGGAUCAUGUCCCACUUGCCUUCAGUAUUAAACUAAGAACUCAUUAUUGACAUCCCACAAGGGGGAUUCGAUUGAUCCACUUCACACCUGGUUACAUAAUCUUUUCUGAUCUAAAGCUAUAGUGCAUAGUUUCUGCUGACCCCAUGAGGAAUUCUAAGUAAUGACAACAAUGCCACAUGACAUACCGAUUUGAUCACGCACGCACCCCCACACAGUUGCUAGCAGCCACAGAGGACCCGGAGGAUUAAAAAAAACAUGAUUACCCUUCAGAAGAAGGCAUUAUCUAGAAUGAAUGUAAUGGUCGUUCAUUAAUAUUAAGAAGUUACGCACUAAAGCUUUAAGAAGUUGAUGAAGACUGAACACACUGGUUUUAAAGUGGACUUUGAAGUAAGCGGAGCAUAUUAUGGGACACCGCUAUUAGUUUACACCUCUUGGUUGCUCCCUAGAAUUAUAAGAGAAGGAUGGGUCACUGUUGGAAAGUCACCAUCUUUCUGAAAAACUGAAGUAUAAAUUCAGCUUCGGCCAGACUUUAAAAUAUCAAUGUGUCCCAUCUCUUUCUGAGGAUUUUGAUGGAAGCAGAGAGCAGCCAUAAUCGCUGAAAAUAGUUAGCAGUUAUCUAGAAAAAUCUAUUUAAUCAUAUUAGAUAUAAAAUUAUUUAUUUCCUUGAGACAUAACUUCUAAUUUCCCUGGAUGUCAAACAUAAAUAAACAAUAAUUACAUUGAAGCCGGUUUAUUCUGGGACGCCAGUCUUAUUCUGGAGGACUAAGUGACAAAAGUGGCUCUGGAUCAAUUAUCAUCCCAAAAAUAAGAGCACAAUAAAUAUGUGAUCAUGAGAAAACUAUUUUUGAUUUUCUAACACAAUAGCAUGUUACAUUUCAGGAUAAAAUGAUCUUAAAUCAGCACCUUGUGUUAAAUCAGAAUAAGACCUGCAGCCAGCCAAUAGGAUGCCUUCUACUGAAUGUGUCACUAAGACCUCAGUUACAGCUGGAGAAUAAAAAGGGGUUUCCAUAAACUGUUUUUUCUUGGUUUCAAUUAAGGAAAUAUUUUAUUACUGGUGUUAAUACUGCUGUAUUCUGAACAGUGCAGGCAGUAUAAAGCCUGUCUGUAUUUUGUUGGUUGUGAUUAAAAUGUUUGAGAUUUGAG